CCCCCUUCCCCCCACUUCCGCAGUCGGUCCUGAGCGCGGGGGUCUGUCCCGGGCCUCCCAAUUUCCCGAUACAGGAGAAACGCCCUGUCAGUGUUUGGCCCCCCACCUCCUCCACACAGAUUUUGGCUCCAGGGAGCCUUCGAGAGAAGAGCCGCGGGUCCCACUGGUCCAAGCUCUGGGUGCUGAAAGCCCUGGCCAGACCACCAACGCCGGGUCCCACAGCCGCCCACAGCCUCCGAUUGCCCCCUGCUGCCCGAUCCUGGAACUACAGCCCCGUCGUGCAAGCCUUCUCUGUCCAGCGUGGAAGCCCAGGCCAGUCUGUGCCAGCUGUCUUCCUGGGACCCUCGUCGUCCUGGCAGUGCCUCUGAGGACCGGGCUCGUGAAAGCCACCCCACAUGUUUAUUGUUUUUCCUGGGUGAUCUCAAGCCCUUCCUGAUCUGUACCAGCUCAGAUCCUCCACAGCUCACAUCAGACCAGCUGGCCCUGCCACUGAUCUAUCUGAUCCCUUUGGGCAGGAAAUGGGGGACCCAGACCGCUGGACACACACCGGACAACAGCCGGCCCUCACAUUUGUGCUGGAUGGUACCAUCUACAAAGGGAUUUUGCUGCGUGUGCUGCUCCCUGUGAUUCUCAUGGAGGAAACUCCACAUCUCAGGCUGAGCACAGUCCUUUGCUGAGAUUUGAUGGGGGGGAAACACGAUCACUGAUGCAACUCCCACCAUGAGCUGCUGCAAAGCCCUGGCAGAAAGAUGAGAUUGGCCUCAGAGCAACAUGGGGCUGCCUGGCCGCGGCCACUCCCUGAGCCUGGUGGGUAUACCUUAAUUUUAUUGAUGCAUCUUGUUUUGAGAGCCUCUCCUGCCCUCUGGGCUGCCCCCACCCUCACCCCCCACCCCCACUCCCACCUCCCUGUUUGGCUAAUGAUAAGUGACAAGCAGUGGACAUUAUAAAUUAAACUGCCCCCGAUAGCCGGUGGUAAAACAGAAGGCUUCACGCAGAGGAGGCAUUCAAAGCAUUUGUGCCGUGUGCCCCCCACCCCCACCUCCCCACUCUCCCCACUCUCCCCACCCCUGCUCAGGGCACAGGCCCCAGGCCCCAGCUGCCGAAGCCUCUCACAACAGACCUUCCGGUCUCUCUGGGCUCCGCUCUGUCAAAUGGAAAUCAGCAACACAGGCCACAGAGUAAUUAAACCGCUGGCAUUCUUUUGACAAAAAAUAUUUCUCUUGGGAUAUUCCCACAGGCCACUGAAGGACUGUCUGGGGCCUGCAAGCUCCCAGCUGAAUAUCAAGGGAGUUUUGAAAUUGGCCUUGACUCGGGAUCAAAAGGGGAUGGGAGUUCGGGGUGUGAAUAUGGGGGUGGGAAAUGCAUUAUAAUUAAAUUUAUCAUUUGGUCUUUCAGCUUGAAGCACCAACACCUGCUUCCCCAGGACAAAUAUGGACAGAGAAUAAAGAGAGACCUUCGAGGCCUGUUUAUUUAUAU
rnacentral:lncRNA from 1 species